rnacentral:rRNA from 1 species
UACGGGGGGGGCAAGCGUUGUUCGGAAUUACUGGGCGUAAAGGGCUCGUAGGCGGCCAACUAAGUCAGACGUGAAAUCCCUCGGCUUGACCGGGGAACUGCGUCUGAUACUGGAUGGCUUGAGUUUGGGAGAGGGAUGCGGAAUUCCAGGUGUAGCGGUGAAAUGCGUAGAUAUCUGGAGGAACACCGGUGGCGAAGGCGGCAUCCUGGACCAACACUGACGCUGAGUGAGCGAAAGCCAGGGGAGCAAACGGG